rnacentral:rRNA from 1 species
UGAGGAAUUUUGCGCAAUGGGGGAAACCCUGACGGAGCAACGCCGCGUGAGUGAUGAAGGUUUUCGGAUCGUAAAGCUAUGUUGUUAGGGAAGAACAAGUACCGUUCGAAUAGGGCGGUACCUUGACGGUACCUAACCAGAAAGCCACGGCUAACUACGUGCCAGCAGCCGCGGUAAUACGUAGGUGGCAAGCGUUGUCCGGAAUUAUUGGGCGUAAAGGGCUCGCAGGCGGUUUCUUAAGUCUGAUGUGAAAGCCCCCGGCUCAACCGGGGAGGGUCAUUGGAAACUGGGGAACUUGAGUGCAGAAGAGGAGAGUGGAAUUCCACGUGUAGCGGUGAAAUGCGUAGAGAUGUGGAGGAACACCAGUGGCGAAGGCGACUCUCUGGUCUGUAACUGACGCUGAGGAGCGAAAGCGUGGGGAGCGAACA